rnacentral:rRNA from 1 species
AUGAACGCUGGCGGCUUGCCUAAUACCUGCAAGUCGAGCGAACAGACGAGGAGCUUGCUCCUCUGACGUUAGCGGCGGACGGGUGAGUAACACGUGGAUAACCUACCUAUAAGACUGGGAUAACUUCGGGAAACCGGAGCUAAUACCGGAUAAUAUAUUGAACCGCAUGGUUCAAUAGUGAAAGACGGUUUUGCUGUCACUUAUAGAUGGAUCCGCGCCGCAUUAGCUAGUUGGUAAGGUAACGGCUUACCAAGGCAACGAUGCGUAGCCGACCUGAGAGGGUGAUUGGCCACACUGGAACUGAGACACGGUCCAGACUCCUACGGGAGGCAGCAGUAGGGAAUCUUCCGCAAUGGGCGAAAGCCUGACGGAGCAACGCCGCGUGAGUGAUGAAGGUCUUCGGAUCGUAAAACUCUGUUAUUAGGGAAGAACAAAUGUGUAAGUAACUAUGCACGUCUUGACGGUACCUAAUCAGAAAGCCACGGCUAACUACGUG